GGCAGCGUGGCUGAGUGGUUUAGGGUGCUGGAUUUGAAAUCUGGAGGACCCAGGUUCAAAUCCUGCAUCCUAGCCU